rnacentral:rRNA from 1 species
AUAUCAAUAAGCGGAGGAAAAGAAACCAACAGGGAUUGCCCUAGUAACGGCGAGUGAAGCGGCAACAGCUCAAAUUUGAAAUCUGGCGCAAGCCCGAGUUGUAAUUUGUAGAGGAUGCUUCUGGGCAGCGGCCGAUCUAAGUUCCUUGGAACAGGACGUCAUAGAGGGUGAGAAUCCCGUAUGCGAUCGGCUCGCACCCGUCACGUAGCUCCUUCGACGAGUCGAGUUGUUUGGGAAUGCAGCUCUAAAUGGGAGGUAAAUUUCUUCUAAAGCUAAAUACCGGCCAGAGACCGAUAGCGCACAAGUAGAGUGAUCGAAAGAUGAAAAGCACUUUGGAAAGAGAGUUAAAAAGCACGUGAAAUUGUUGAAAGGGAAGCGCAUGCAACCAGACUUGUCGACGGUGUUCCGCCGGUCUUCUGACCGGUCUAUUCGCCGUCGGCAGGCCAGCAUCACUUGGGAGCGUUGGAUAAAGGCGUCGGGAAUGUGGCCCUUCGGGGUGUUAUAGCUCGACGUACAAUACAACGCCUCCCGAGUGAGGUCCGCGCUUCGGCUAGGAUGCUGGCGUAAUGGUUGUCUGCGG